rnacentral:tRNA from 1 species
UAGCUCAGUGGUAGAGCACUUGCCCUGUAUGUGCAAGGACCUAGGUUCAAUUCCUAG